CUAGCAGGCGAACAAAUUGUCCUAGGACAACGAUUCUUUCAUCAGAUUGUGUCUAGCAGGCGAACAAAUUGCCCUAGGACAACGAUUCUUUUAUCAGAUUGUGUCUAGCAGGCGAACAAAUUGUCCUAGGACAACGAUUCUUUCAUCAGAUUGUGUCAAGCAGGCGAAAAAAUUGUCCUAGGACAACGAUUCUUUCAUCAGAUUGUGUCUAGCAGGCGAACAAAUUGUCCUAGGACAACGAUUCUUUCAUCAGAUUGUGUCUAGCAGGCGAACAAAUUGUCCUAGGACAACGAUUCUUUCAUCAGAUUGUGUCUAGCAGGCGAACAAAUUGUCCUAGGACAACGAUUCUUUCAUCAGAAUGUGUCUAGCAGGCGAACAAAUUGCCCUAGGACAACGAUUCUUUCAUCAGAAUGUGUCUAGCAGGCGAACAAAUUGCCCUAGGACAACGAUUCUUUCAUCAGAAUGUGUCUAGCAGGCGAACAAAUUGCCCUAGGACAACGAUUCUUUCAUCAGAUUGUGUCUAGCAGGCGAACAAAUUGUCCUAGGACAACGAUUCUUUCAUCAGAAUGUGUCUAGCAGGCGAACAAAUUGCCCUAGGACAACGAUUCUUUCAUCAGAAUGUGUAUAGCAGGCGAACGAAAUGUCCUAGGACCACGAUUCUUUCAUCAGAUUGUAAGUAUUGAAUUUGUUUAUCAUUUUCAUAAAUAAUUUGUGUGAUUAACACACGGAAUAUCUGCGGAAAUCUCAUAUGUGUACUUCGAAAUGCAAAUUUUUGAUGAUUUUAGACAACGGUCCUAUUAUGAUAUUGUAGGAAUUGAAAUUGUUUCUCAUUCUUGUAAAUAAUUUUCAUGUUUCAUGCAAGGAAAAGUAAAUUAAAUUAGUUAUUUUAAAUAUAAGCAGACGCAUUACA